AUUGAACGCUGGCGGCAGGCUUAACACAUGCAAGUCGAGCGGGGGGACGUAGCUUGCUACCGGACCUAGCGGCGGACGGGCGAGUAAUGCCUAGGAAUCUGCCUAUUAGUGGGGGACAACACCGCGACAGGGAUGCUAAUACCGCAUACGCCCUACGGGAGAAAGCAGGGGAUCUUCGGACCUUGCGCGAAUAUGUGAUCCUAAGUCGGCUUAGCUAGUUGGGGGGGUAAAGGCCUACCAAGGCGACGAUCUGUAGCGGACCUGAGAGGAUGAUCCGCCACACUGGGACUGAGACACGGCCCAGACUCCUACGGGAGGCAGCAGUGGGGAAUAUUGGACAAUGGGGGGAACCCUGAUCCAGCCAUGCCGCGUGUGUGAAGAAGGCCUUAUGGUUGUAAAGCACUUUAAGCGAGGAGGAGGCUACUUUAGUUAAUACCUAGAGAUAGUGGACGUUACUCGCAGAAUAAGCACCGGCUAACUCUGUGCCAGCCGCCGCCGUAA
rnacentral:rRNA from 1 species